CGAUCCUGCUUCACACCUCCCACCUCCAAGAGAUGUGCACAGAGUGAGUUUGCAAUGCCCUGGUGACUGCCCGGUGCCCCAUGAAGCUCAGCAUCAGUACUUCUCUGUUGCUUGCAGGUCACAAUUGACAGCAGCAGUUUAAUUAAACAAAAGCAGCACGGCUGUUUCUUGCUAAAGCAGCAGACCCUAAUCAUCUGCUAGAAAUGGAUUCCUCCCCCUCUCACUGAGGAUAAACACUUGGAGCACUUGCAAAUUCUGAUAAGCGGGUGAACUGGAAAGGACGGGACUGUGCCAGACGAGGUGAACUGCCUGCAGUGGGGAGGCUCCCUCCUGCCCCUGGAAAUGCGGAUGAGAAAAUAGAACACAAAGAUGAACAAACCUCAGGGGAACAUGUUCAGGCUGUAAAAAUACUGACGCAGUAUCAAGAUAUCUGGAAGCACUCUUGGAAUACCCUGUGAGUCAUGGGCGCUGUAUAUUACAUGGUCAACGCUUAUUCAACAAAAGUAAUUUCUCAUGUGAGACCACGGGAAUCAGAGAAAUUGGCUUUGCACCAAGGUGCCUGAUUCAGCAAGAUGUUACCAGCGCAGAGGCUCUGCUGCUGUGCUCCAGCUUUUAAACACCGGGAGAGGGGAAGUAAUCAGCACGAGGAGAAAACAGGAGAUCCCUUACAGCUCUGUGCAUGGCAGUGUUUUAACUCUGAGCUGGAGGAGGAAUAAUACAUGACACGGAAGGAGAAAUGCUGGGCACUGGAGUGCACACAGAACGUCCCAGCGACCUCCAAUUCCCUGCCAAAGGCACAGGGGUGAAAGACGUGGAUUUUAUCAUGUUCCUGGAGAGAGACAUCUUAAAUAUAUGAAGCAGAGGAGAAAAGAUUACUGCAGCACAAAGCAACACUCUUCCCUCCUCACUCACAAAAGCCAUAGGCAACAAUUGAGCCGUGCACAUGGGAAGGUUUAUUUUCUUCAUGAAAACGAGUGAUUUAAAUAAGAGCCAGAACCAGCCAAAUGUUGAGCCCCUUGGCUGCCAGCUCACAUGGAUGUACUGUGGCUGUGAAGAGCCCUUGGUUGGUGCCACACACUUGAGAGGAGGAGCAAUGCAAAUCGGCACACGUGAGCUCUUUCUGGUGCCAAUUGGAACCCAUCUCCACUUUCUUCUAAAUCCCAACUCCUCGCUCGUAUUCUUUUAGAGGAUCACAGAGCACUGAGCACGGAGCUGAAAAGCUUCGCCUGCCCUAGGAGCUAAAGGCACAUAUUUCCAAAAGCAGCAGGCUGCAACCAGCUCCAAGCCCUCUUGUUGCAUGCAGAGCCACAAAAGCAUUAUGGUAACUCUGAGCACUGAACCAUUUAAAAUCUAUUUUAAUUGAUUUCUGGCUACUUUGUGAUUCCAGCAUGUUGUUAAAUGAGUGGUAGAUAAAAGUAGCAGGAGGUAACAACUUCUGUGGGGAGAUCAUGCCUAAAAUACAGCGUUCAACUCUGGGUACCUCAUUGCCAGAGAGAUGCAGACAAAUUGGAAAGAAUUCAUAGAAGAGCAUUAAAAAUGAUUAAGGGUCUGAAGAGACUGAGUUAUGAGCGAAGAUUAAAGGAACUUAAUAUGAAUCACUUGGCUAAAUGAUGACUAAGAGGGAAACGAUACCCUUCAACAAGUACUUGGAGGGCAUAAAUAUCACAAAUAAAAAGGAAUUAUUUAGGGCUCUGAAGGACAUACCACUUGGGAUAAAAGGAUGGUGUUAGGCAAAGGGAAACUGGCUCUGAACAUACAUCGUUAAAGUCUAACAGGCCAUUUAUGGGAAACUAAAUCCCGACACAUUUAUCUAACCCUGCUGCAGUGUUAAUUUUUGCCUAUGAUAGCAAAAGAAAUCCCAUUGUCUUCAGUUAGACACAGUCCAAGGUUGUAUGGGAAAGAGGCAUCGCUCCCAAUGGCAAGUUGGGAAAACAGCAAAGAAGAAACGUUCAGAGCUUUUGAAGAGCCACUGUGCAGCUGGAAGAAGUGCCAAAAGGGAAGAAAUGCCACGGUGUGGCAGCCCUGACCCCAGCCUGUCUUAGAAAGCAGCUGUGCAUUGAACAGGAUUGAAUAUCAGCAAGAAAUCGGACUUGGCCAUGCCUUGAUCAGCAGAGCGGAUCAGCGGGACAGCGCUGUGAUUCCUAAAACUGCUACCACGUAUAUCUACAUACAUCACCUUGUGGUUCUUUGGGCUUACUGCAUGGAAACUGCCCGGCUGCAGCCAGAGGUCCCCACCCAGGGGGCAAUCCCAACCUGACAGCUCCUGCAGAUCGGGGCUCUCGGCCUUUCUCACUGCAGACACCCAAGUAUAAUUGUCUGCAAUAACAUAAUUAGUUGCUGGAGAGUGACUCACGAUGCCCAAACAUGUUGGAUUUCCCUCUCCACCUCACUAGAUAGCAUUGAAAACACACUGUGAAAAGACAACCUUCAGGUACCAUCUGGGACACUGUGGACGCUGCAGGGAAACGUUGACUCCAGGUGGCUGUCAGUAGGGAAUAGCACUACCGAGCAUUCCCCAAGGAACAAAGAUUUGGUUUUCCUGACGUUUCUUGGAAAUUGUUUAAAGUACAUAAAAAGAAAGGAAGGGAGUAUAAUUAGGUAGUGAUAUGGCUGCAUGUAGUUGCAGUUCGGAGCAUCUCACGAGGCCUAAAAAGGCCAUGAAGGGCAGCAUGUUCAACCCAAGGCAGGAAUGUGGGGUGUGUGUGAACAUUCCCAAAGUCACAGGUUUCCCUCAGUCAGCUGUUCUGCUCUGGGAGGAUUUUACAAUGAAGAAUCAGUGAGAUUCCAAUAUGACCCGAGCAGAGGUUCUCUGAUCCAUCCUGAGCUCACAUACACCCCAGGGAAGGAAAUGUGUGGAUGUGUGUUUUUAAGUCCAUCCCUUAAUUAUCUACAUGUGGUCUCACAGGUGUAUAAUCAAUCACCCAUUGGAAAUUCUUAACCUGCUUGGCUCCAAAUCCUAAGUAUACUUUAGAAGGCUUUGUUUAGUGUUUUACUAUUGCAUUAUAUAUGGUUUCCCAUACUAUUAAAUUUGUAUUUUACUGUGAUUACUAUGGUUUCACUUCAAAGGAUAUUCCCACAAAUAGAUGUUUUAGAUGCUUCUCAUGGUUAUAACCAAUGCUGGUUGGAAAUCCUUGUCCCAAAAUGCAGUAUUUUCACCUUUAGCUCACGCUUCAUUACAUCAACUUGUUGGCAGUAACACUGCUGAGCAUUAAGUGUGUGGAUUGAAACCUAUC
ensembl:lncRNA